UCCGGUAUGGGUGUAGUGGCUAACAUUUCGCGCUCUCAACUUACAGCUGAGGGAUCAGUUCCGCGGAGCCCAGGGUUCGAUUCCCUGUACCGGAG
rnacentral:tRNA from 1 species